rnacentral:sRNA from 1 species
UAGAAUCAAAACAAAAUGAGAACUGCUC